rnacentral:rRNA from 1 species
CCUACGGGAGGCAGCAGUAGGGAAUAUUGCGCAAUGGGGGCAACCCUGACGCAGCAAUGCCGCGUGAGUGAAGAAGGCCUUCGGGUCGUAAAGCUCUUUUAUGGGGGAAGAUGAUGACGGUACCCCAUGAAUAAGCACCGGCUAACUACGUGCCAGCAGCCGCGGUAAUACGUAGGGUGCGAGCGUUGUUCGGAAUUACUGGGCGUAAAGGGCGUGCAGGCGGAUUGGCAAGCCGGAGGUGAAAGCCCGGGGCUCAACCCCGGAGGGUCUUUCGGAACUGCCAGUCUUGAGAGGGUCAGGGGCCAGCGGAAUUCCUGGUGUAGAGGUGAAAUUCGUAGAGAUCAGGAGGAACACCGGCGGCGAAAGCGGCUGGCUGGGGCCACUCUGACGCUGAGGCGCGAAAGCGUGGGGAGCAAACAGGAUUAGAUACCCUGGUAGUCCACGCCGUAAACGAUGGGCACUAAGCGUCCGACGGGUUCGACCCUGUUGGGUGCUGCAGUUAACGCGUUAAGUGCCCCGCCUGGGGAGUACGGUCGCAAGACUAAAACUCAAAGGAAUUGACGG